UGGACUUUAACCUUGAGGAAUACUCACUGGCCAAUCAAGGCCUCCAGGUGGUCUGCCAGUCAGAAAAAGAGGCGGGUUCUUCCGGGUGAUUUUCAUCGGAGUUCGUUGUGUCUGCCAAGGUUUGAAUAGUUCACUAUGACUUACUCUGAGCUCUGCUUUUCGUGCUGUGAGGGAACUUCUGGGAAGCUCCGAAGUCAAGACAUGGGGAGCACUGGGAUGCAGUGACUUAUGAUGAUGUGCUUGUGAUCUUCACUUGGGAAGAGUGGAUUUUGCUGGAUCCUUCCCAGAAGAGUCUCUACAGAGAAGUGAUGCUGGAGACCUACCAGAAUCUCACUGCUAUAGGCUACAGUUGGGGCAUCCAUCACAUUAAAGAAUGUUGCCAAAGUUCUACAAGACAUAGAAGGUAAUUUUCCUGUGCAAGCUGAUACAAUAUGCCUCUGAGGGUAUUUUAAUAUUCUGUAAGUUUUAAAGAAAAGCAAUAUUGUAAAUUAUCAGUCCUUUAUAUGUACCUAUGAUUAUAAUAUUCUCUCAAGACCUUGUAUCUUGAUGUCAGUUAUUUAAUUUGUGUAUUAAGGCAUUCCUCUAAGAAAAAAAUCAAGGAAACAGUACCUUAAGAUAUACCUGUAUUUGAUUUUUAGAUCCAUUAGAGCUCUGCUGUGGAAUUUCCAAUAUGUAUUGUCUCAAAAUGCUUGUAAGUUGCACCUUGAGUGUGAUAAAUAUAUAUAUGUAAACCCUCCUAAUAAGCAAAUAGUCCAAUGUAAAGUUAGUGAUACUCAUCUUCUUGUAGUGACAUUGCUAAGUUUAUUGAUAUUCAGGAAUGUUAUCAUGGAGAAAACUUAAUUGAUGUACCAUAGGUCUAGGAGGAACAAAACGUCAAAUGGUGUGCAUGCAGUGUGGAAUCCUUUUAUUUGCUAUUCUUCUUUUGUUUUUUAAAGAUUGUUUAAUUUUACUUAUGUGAGAACACUGCCCCUGUCUUCAGACACACCAGAAGAGGGCAUCAGAUCCCAUUAUUGUUGGUUGUUAGCCACCAUGUGGUUACUGGGAAAUGCUUUUAAUUGCUGCGCCAUCUCUACAGUUCUGUUAUUCUUCUUUAAUAGGUACUCCCAGUGCCACCAUGGGUAAAAGCCAUGUGAGCAUAGGGUUAUUGGAAGAAGCAAAGUACCAUGUUCUAUUUGAGAACAAUGGGAAGAUCUGUAGUAUUCUCCCUUUGGUAGACUUUCUGAAUAUCGUAGAAGUUUGCAAUUUAUCGUUUUUCUGACAUAACUGGGAACAUCCCCUAAGUCACACUGCAGAAAAUCCCUAUGGGUACUAGAUAUUUGGAAAUUGUUCUGUGUGUCCUAGUUCACAGUCCUAAUGUGAUGUGAUUCACACUACAGGAAAAAUUAUGAACGUAAUCAGUUGUUCUUUACUUUAAAACUUUUACUGGAUUUUUUAUUUACAUUUUGAAUGUUAUUCCUUUUCCUGGUUUCCUGUCCAGAAAACCCACUAGGUCACCUCCCUGAACCCCUGCUAAUAUGAGGGUGUUUCCCACCUCCCCACCCUGACAUUCUCUACACUGAGCUGUGAGUUGUUCCCUUUUCUUCAGAUACAUGAAAUAUAUCAUAUAGAAGUCUCAUAUAGAAAGAGGGUGUUAUAAUUGUGUCCGUGUAAUAAAUGCUCUUACUAUCACAGGUAUAUUCAAAGAGGCAAAACAAUCCUUAUGUUGGAGAACACCAUGAACAUGCAAAAAUGAUAAAAACUUCAGAUCUGAUUCUUUUUUUUUUUUUUUUUGUGGAAGCUCUAGUGUCACAGUGUAUCUCAUAGUAUAUCCUUUUGUCCACAUCUCUUUUAUUCAUUGCAGAAGCUAUAGUGUGUCACAGUGUAUCCCACAGUAUAUCCUUUUGUCCACACCUCUUUUCUUGCAAACAGCAUAUAUUUUUUGAUGGAUUUUAUUAUGAUGUUUUCGCUCAAGUAUAUGAUGUGAUUUGAACAUUUUCACCUUCAUUACUUCCCCUGCUAGUCUGCUUCCUCUUUCUAAUGUCCCAUAUACUUUAAUGUCACACAUGUAGUGUGCAUAUACACAUGCACACUUGACUCCAAAUCUGGGAGAAAACAUGCACCAUUUAUCUUUCUGAAUUUAGACUAUUUUUAAAUAUGGACAUCCAUUGUUGUGAAAUUUGUAGAAUUUCUAUACCUUUAAAAAUUAAUAUAAGUCCAUUGUGUAAGUGUACCACUUUUUUAAUCUAUUGAGAGAAUAUCUUGAGUUAUGUAUUGCUUUAAUAAACAGGAAUGCACAGC